rnacentral:rRNA from 1 species
UACGGAGGGUGCGAGCGUUGUCCGGAAUCACUGGGCGUAAAGGGCGCGUAGGUGGCUUGGCAAGCGUGUGGUGAAAGCCCGGGGCUUAACCCCGGGUCUGCCGUGCGAACUACCAUAGCUAGAGUACUGUAGAGGCAGGUUGAAUUCCGGGUGUAGCGGUGGAAUGCGUAGAGAUCCGGAAGAAUACCGGUGGCGAAGGCGGCCUGCUGGGCAGUUACUGACACUGAGGCGCGACAGCGUGGGGAGCAAACAGG